GAGAGGAAGGUCCCCCACAUUGGAACUGAGACACGGUCCAAACUCCUACGGGAGGCAGCAGUGAGGAAUAUUGGUCAAUGGGCGAGAGCCUGAACCAGCCAAGUAGCGUGAAGGAUGACUGCCCUAUGGGUUGUAAACUUCUUUUAUAAAGGAAUAAAGUCGGGUAUGCAUACCCGUUUGCAUGUACUUUAUGAAUAAGGAUCGGCUAACUCCGUGCCAGCAGCCGCGGUAAUACGGAGGAUCCGAGCGUUAUCCGGAUUUAUUGGGUUUAAAGGGAGCGUAGAUGGAUGUUUAAGUCAGUUGUGAAAGUUUGCGGCUCAACCGUAAAAUUGCAGUUGAUACUGGAUAUCUUGAGUGCAGUUGAGGCAGGCGGAAUUCGUGGUGUAGCGGUGAAAUGCUUAGAUAUCACGAAGAACUCCGAUUGCGAAGGCAGCCUGCUAAGCUGCAACUGACAUUGAGGCUCGAAAGUGUGGGUAUCAAACAGGAUUAGAUACCCUGGUAGUCCACACGGUAAACGAUGAAUACUCGCUGUUUGCGAUAUACAGCAAGCGGCCAAGCGAAAGCGUUAAGUAUUCCACCUGGGGAGUACGCCGGCAACGGUGCAACUCAAAUGAAUUGACGG
rnacentral:rRNA from 1 species